CCGCUGAAUUUAAGCAUAUCAUUAAGCGGAGGAAAAGAAACUAACAAGGAUUCCCCUAGUAGCGGCGAGCGAAGAGGGAAAAGCCCAGAACCGAAUCCUGCAGAGUAAUCUGUUAGGAAAUGUGGUGUUUGGUUCAAUUCUGACGGCACGCCGUUGUUGUUCUAAGUCCACGUGAUUGUGGCAAUAAGCCCAGAGAGGGUGUAAGGCCCGUAAGAACAAUACGGUGUGUCCAGGAGUUGUACCUAGAGUCGGGUUGUUUGGGAAUGCAGCCCAAAUUGGGUGGUAAACUCCAUCCAAGGCUAAAUACAACACGAGUCCGAUAGCGAACAAGUACCAUGAGGGAAAGUUGAAAAGAACUUUGAAGAGAGAGUUCAAUAGUGCGUGAAACCGCUCGGAGGUAAACAGGCAGAACUGAAGAUGAGUGGGUGUAGUGAAGCUCUAUUGGGACUGUUUUGGAGUUAAGCGAUCAUUUUAGACGCUUGCUUCGAAAUUUGUUCUCAUAUUGCUUUUUUGCGCUCAUUCAACACUACGACCAGUAGUUAAGCGAGCUUGUGUGCAGAUAAAGGUAGCUUCAUUUUAGAAGUGUUAUAUUAUCGGCUUGCAGCGCUUGCUGAGUACUGUUAUGCAGUGUGCCAUUGAGGCAGUACAUGGUUGGUUUAUUGGGGAAUAGGUGUGGCUACAUCAUUUUAGAUGUACUAUGCCUUAUUUCUUUAUGAUCUAACCCUCUGUUUGUUUCAUUGCAGUUGUAGUGAAAUGGUAGGUAUCUGCCUGACCCGUCUUGAAACACGGACCAAGGAGUUUAGCAUAUACGCAAGUCAUUGGGUUGUACGAAACCUAAAGGCGCAGUGAAGGUAAAGGUCUGAUUUUUCAGGCUAAGGUAGGAUCUCGCUGUCAAUGCGCAUUGAGUGCAUGCGGUGAGCGCACUACCAGCUCGUCUCAUGUCUUAUUAGGCGAGGCGAAGCAAGAGCGUAUAUGCUGAGACCCGAAAGAUGGUGAACUAUGCUUGUGUAGGUUGAAGCCAGAGGAAACUCUGGUGGAGGACCGUAGCGAUUCUGACGUGCAAAUCGAUCGUCAAACAUGAGUAUAGGGGCGAAAGACUAACCGAACCAUCUAGUAGCUGGUUCCCUCCGAAGUUUCCCUCAGGAUAGCAGGCACUCGGGAAACAAGCAGUUUUAUCCGGUAAAGCGAAUGAUUAGCAGUAUUGGGGAUGAAAUAUCCUCAACUGAUUCUCAAACUUUAAAUGGGUGAGAAGCUUUACUCUCUUAAAUUUGGAGUAGAGCAUUGAAUGUGAGUGCCUAGUGGGCCAUUUUUGGUAAGCAGAACUGGCGCUGUGGGAUGAACCAAACGUCUGGUUACGGAGCCUAACAUAACGCUCAUGAGAAACCACAAAAGGUGUUGGUUGAUUUUGACAGCAGGACGGUGGCCAUGGAAGUCGGAAUCCGCUAAGGAGUGUGUAACAACUCACCUGCCGAAUCAACCAGCCCUGAAAAUGGAUGGCGCUCGAGCGUUGGUCCUAUACCAGACCGUUAUCGCAAACUUGCAUAGUAUGUGAUAACGAGUAGGAGGGCGCUGUGAUGAGCAUUGAAGCCUAGGUCGUGAGACUGGGUGGAGCCGUCACGGGUGCAGAUCUUGGUGGUAGUAGCAAAUAUUCAAGUGAGAACCUUGAAGACUGAAGUGGAGAAGGGUUCC
rnacentral:rRNA from 1 species